rnacentral:rRNA from 1 species
AUGAACAUCACCCUCCUUGCUCGAUGGCUAUGGCAGAUCUCGAGGGGUGAGGGUGGUCUCUGGGUGCAGAUCAUACAGAAUAAAUAUCUCCGCGGCCAACCCCUUGCUUUCUGCCAACGGACUAGCGGCUCCCAGUCCUGGAAAUCCAUCAUACAACUGCUUCCUGUCCUCCUGAUUGGGACCUCCGCAGUAGGGACGGGCUCUAGUACCCUAUUCUGGUUCGAUAGGUGGGCUGGCGACGCUCCCUUUGCGGCCCACUUCCCGGAAUUGUUCACCAUCGCUGUGGACCCUCAGGUCUGCGUCGAGACAGCCCUUAUUGACGUAGGGCGCCUCGCCUUAAGGCGGCCUUUCGGGCCCUUGGACGUGAACGCAUGGCACGACCUCCUGGACACUGUCGCUCUACAUGAGCCAGACCUCGCACGACCCCAAGACCUCGUUUCUUGGCGGUUAGAGCCUUCGGGCCACUUCUCCACCAAAUCCCUCUACAGGGCCAUCGCUCCCUCCCUCGCCCUGGAAUCACUGAUAAUGAUCUGGGAAAUCAAACUCCCCCUAAAGAUCAGGAUCUUCGUCUGGCAUUGGAUCCGUGGGAGGGUUCCAUUAGGAGUGGAGGUGUUAAAACGCAAUGGCCCCGGAGAUGGGAUGUGCCCCCUGUGUGGGACGCUCGAGGAUUUGAAUCAUAUCUUCUUCUCCUGCGUCUCUGCCCAGUUCUUGUGGAGUUGCUUCCGUGAGGCGAUCAGUGGUCGUUGGUGCAACACCAACUUCCCGGAUCUCUUCGCCGAGGUUCAGGCCUUGCCCCAGCCUGGCCGCCACAUUAGGUGGCUGGCGGUUGGGGUCCUUGCGUGGAUGCUGUGGACUAUUCGCAAUAAGCUCGUGAUCCAACGCGUUCCCCUUCGGCGAUCGACUGACGCAAUGUUUAAAAUGUGUGGUUAUUUGCAGCUUUGGCGGCUGCUUAGCCGUCCCCAGGAUCUCGACGCCAUCAACAACAUCAUCGCAUCCCUUCGUGCGUUGGCCAUCCGCUUGGCGCCGCCGCUCCCUCCGCCACCCCAGAGCCGGAUUAGAUCAUGUAGUAUGUGGCCUGCCUACGGCUUGGCCUUGUUUUUAUGUUUUGGGCUUGUUGGGUUGUGCCCUCAGCAGAACCUAGUACUUUUCGUCAUUUUAGCUUUCUGUUUGUGUGUGUGGGUGUGA